rnacentral:rRNA from 1 species
UACGAAGGGGGCUAGCGUUGUUCGGAUUUACUGGGCGUAAAGGGCGGGUAGGCGGCCACCGCAAGUCGGGUGUGAAAUCCCCAGGCUUAACCUGGGAACUGCAUUCGAGACUGCAUUGCUAGAGUAUGGGAGAGGGAAGUGGAAUUUCCGGUGUAGCGGUGAAAUGCGUAGAUAUCGGAAGGAACAUCAGUGGCGAAAAGCGACUUCCUGGACCAAUACUGACGCUCAUGUGCGAAAGCGUGGGGAGCAAACAGG